UUCAGAUUGCAGGCUGCAACCCGCCUGCAUGAAGUCGGAAUUGCUAGUAAUCGCGGAUCAGCAUGCCGCGGUGAAUACGUUCCCGGGCCUUGUACACACCGCCCGUCACACCAUGAGAGCCGGUAAUACCCGAAGUCCGUAGCCUAACCGCAAGGGGGGCGCGGCCGAAGGUAGGACUGGUAAUUAGGGUGAAGUCGUAACAAGGUAGC
rnacentral:rRNA from 1 species